AAAUUGAUUUUAUGCUUGCAUAAAUGAUUUUUGGAUUCGGAGCGAGUGGCGAACUGGUGAGUAACACGUGGGUAACCUGCCCCGAAGCGGGGGAUAACAUUUGGAAACAAGUGCUAAUACCGCAUAAUUAGUUGGAACCGCAUGGUUCCAACUUGAAAGAUGGCUCUGCUAUCACUUUGGGAUGGACCCGCGCCGUAUUAGUUAGUUGGUGAGAUAAAAGCCCACCAAGACGAUGAUACGUAGCCGACCUGAGAGGGUAAUCGGCCACAUUGGGACUGAGACACGGCCCAGACUCCUACGGGAGGCAGCAGUAGGGAAUCUUCCACAAUGGACGAAAGUCUGAUGGAGCAACGCCGCGUGAGUGAUGAAGGUUUUCGGAUCGUAAAACUCUGUUGUUAAAGAAGAACAAGUGUUAGAGUAACUGUUAACACUUUGACGGUAUUUAACCAGAAAGCCACGGCUAACUACGUGCCAGCAGCCGCGGUAAUACGUAGGUGGCAAGCGUUGUCCGGAUUUAUUGGGCGUAAAGCGAGCGCAGGCGGUUUUGUAAGUCUGCUGUGAAAGCCCUCAGCUCAACUGAGGAAGUGCAGUGGAAACUACAAAACUUGAGUACAGAAGAGGAAAGUGGAACUCCAUGUGUAGCGGUGAAAUGCGUAGAUWUAUGGAAGAACACCAGUGGCGAAGGCGGCUUUCUGGUCUGUUACUGACGCUGAGGCUCGAAAGCAUGGGUAGCGAACAGGAUUAGAUACCCUGGUAGUCCAUGCCGUAAACGAUGAAUACUAGGUGUUGGAAGGGUUUCCGCCCUUCAGUGCCGCAGCUAACGCAUUAAGUAUUCCGCCUGGGGAGUACGACCGCAAGGUUGAAACUCAAAGGAAUUGACGGGGGCCCGCACAAGUGGUGGAGCAUGUGGUUUAAUUCGAUGCUACGCGAAGAACCUUACCAGCUCUUGACAUCUUCUGCCAACCCAAGAGAUUGGGCGUUCCCUUCGGGGACAGAAUGACAGGUGGUGCAUGGUUGUCGUCAGCUCGUGUCGUGAGAUGUUGGGUUAAGUCCCGCAACGAGCGCAACCCUUAUUAUUAGUUGCCAGCAUUUAGUUGGGCACUCUAGUGAGACUGCCGGUGAUAAACCGGAGGAAGGUGGGGACGACGUCAAAUCAUCAUGCCCCUUAUGAGCUGGGCUACACACGUGCUACAAUGGAUGGUACAACGAGUCGCGAAACCGCGAGGUCAAGCUAAUCUCUUAAAGCCAUUCUCAGUUCGGAUUGCAGGCUGCAACUCGCCUGCAUGAAGUUGGAAUCACUAGUAAUCGUGGAUCAGCAUGCCACGGUGAAUACGUUCCCGGGCCUUGUACACACCGCCCGUCACACCAUGAGAGUUUGUAACACCCAAAGACGA
rnacentral:rRNA from 1 species